AUGCCUCGUCAUCUAAUUAGUGACGCGCAUGAAUGGAUUAACGAGAUCCCUACUGUCCCUAUCUACUAUCUAGCGAAACCACAGCCAAGGGAACGGGCUUGGAAUAAUUAGCGGGGAAAGAAGACCCUGUUGAGCUUGACUCUAGUCUGGCAGUGUAAGGAGACAUAAGAGGUGUAGCAUAAGUGGGAGAUAUAAUUGGUUUCGGCUAAAUAUAUCAAAAAUGAAAUACCACUACUCUUAUUGUUUCCUUACUUACUUGAUAAAAUGGAACGUGUAUCAUUCACUUAGCCAUUAUAUGAAUAUAUUUAUAUAUUUUAUGGUAUUUUGUUUUGAUGCGAGCUUCUUGUUUAAAGUACCAAGAGUUUGUUAUAUACACCAAACAAAUAUCAAUUAAAUUUACUUAUUAUUAAUAAUGAUUUGUUAAAUUAUAAUUGAAUUUGGUAUAACUAUUAUACUUAGGUAUGAUCCAAUUCAAGGACAUUGCCAGGUGGGGAGUUUGACUGGGGCGGUACAUCUCUCAAAUAAUAACGGAGGUGUCCCAAGGCCAGCUCAGUGCGGACAGAAACCACACAUAGAGCAAAAGGGCAAAUGCUGACUUGAUCUCGGUGUUCAGUACAUACAGAGACAGCAAAAGCUCGGCCUAUCGAUCCUUUUGGUUUAAAGAGUUUUUAACAAGAGGUGUCAGAAAAGUUACCACAGGGAUAACUGGCU
rnacentral:rRNA from 1 species